UACGGAGGGGGCUAGCGUUGUUCGGAAUCAUUGGGCGUAAAGGGCGCGUAGGCGGCCGAUCAAGUCGGAGGUGAAAUCCCUCGGCUCAACUGAGGAAUUGCCUUCGAUACUGUUCGGCUUGAGUCCUGGAGAGGGUAGCGGAAUUCCCGGUGUAGCGGUGAAAUGCGUAGAGACCGGGAAGAACACCAGUGGCGAAGGCGGCUACCUGGACGGAUACUGACGCUGAUACGCGAAAGCGUGGGGAGCAAACAGG
rnacentral:rRNA from 1 species